CUAUGGCUUGAAAGAGAGUCAUGGCAAAGGAG
ncrna:unclassified sequences L31-Firmicutes ribosomal protein leader